rnacentral:rRNA from 1 species
AGUGAACGCUGGCGGUAGGCCUAACACAUGCAAGUCGAACGGCAGCACAGGAGAGCUUGCUCUCUGGGUGGCGAGUGGCGGACGGGUGAGGAAUACAUCGGAAUCUACCUUUUCGUGGGGGAUAACGUAGGGAAACUUACGCUAAUACCGCAUACGACCUACGGGUGAAAGUGGGGGACCGCAAGGCCUCGCGCGAUUAG